AUCCUUCUCCACAGAAGACACAGUUUAAAAGUCACUAGCAAUUAGCAGGAGGAAAAAAAACUUUUGUAGUGAUAAUGACAAGAAGGUAGUAACCUUGACAAAGGUCAUCAGACUGUAUUGUGCCUCAGCUAACCCACCAGAAAACUAAGUAAAAAACAUGGACACAUGAAAACUAUAUGCUGCAUCUAACCUGAGUCUCAAUAGGUGAAGCAGCUCAAUUAGUUAUUUCAUUUGAGAUACGAAAACAAUCUUCAGGGAAGGAUUUUUUAAAAGUUGAGCCUCCAGUUCAUGAAUUGUAGUCUACAAAUCCACUGAAAUCAAAUGCAGAUGCUGUUAUUGCAGAAGACUAUGAUAUUACCUCAUACAUUUUUCAGCUAGUUUACAUGAUGUUUGAAAAGUAAAUGGCGUAACUAGUUAUUUCUGCACAUUUGAAAGUCUCUAAAACCCCAUUGACACCAAGUACAGUGGAUCCAUCAUAUAAAGAAUUCAUUGUUCACUCGUGAGAGAACUUCUUUGUAAAUGGAGGUAACUAGAACUGCAACAGACUGGAAGAA